rnacentral:rRNA from 1 species
GAUGAACGCUGGCGGCGUGUCUAAUACAUGCAAGUCGAGCGAACAGACGAGGAGCUUGCUCCUUUGACGUUAGCGGCGGACGGGUGAGUAACACGUAGGUAACCUACCUAUAAGACUGGGAUAACUUCGGGAAACCGGAGCUAAUACCGGAUAAUAUUUCGAACCGCAUGGUUCGAUAGUGAAAGAUGGCUUUGCUAUCACUUAUAGAUGGACCUGCGCCGUAUUAGCUAGUUGGUAAGGUAACGGCUUACCAAGGCAACGAUACGUAGCCGACCUGAGAGGGUGAUCGGCCACACUGGAACUGAGACACGGUCCAGACUCCUACGGGAGGCAGCAGUAGGGAAUCUUCCGCAAUGGGCGAAAGCCUGACGGAGCAACGCCGCGUGAGUGAUGAAGGUCUUCUGAUCGUAAAACUCUGUUAUUAGGGAAGAACAAACGUGUAAGUAACUGUGCACGUCUUGACGGUACCUAAUCAGAAAGCCACGGCUAACUACGUG